rnacentral:misc_RNA from 1 species
AAAAGUUUUUUUUUUUAAUUUUAUUUUAAAUUUUAAAUAAAAAAUCCAACAGAUAACACUUCCAGUGAAUACUUAAUACCUUGUUAACUUGCAAUAUGUUGUAAAGGUUCUAUUUUUCAUAUUAGAAGUUCUUUUAUCCUUCUUUGUAUCCAUGUUCUUUAUAUAGCCUUCAAGGAGUGGAAUUGCAUUUUAUCACUUAAAUCAAUAAUUCCAUGCAUUGAUUGUGCUUCUCAAAGGGUAUUAACUAUCAUCUUAAUAAUGUAGACUCUUGUUUCAAGUAUUGUUUUUUUCUUUAGACUCAUGCCAUGCUUGGUGUGGCAAUUGCCAAGUUACAGUUAUAUGUAGGGCUAGAAGUUUUAACAAUUGAGCUUUUGGUGACUCUGCUGUUGUCUUCAGAGUGUGAUCUUGCUGUGCUGAAGAUUCUAAGCAUCACUACUGGUAUCAUGCAUGAAAAAUAUAGAAGUGAGGGUUAUUAAGCAGCUGUUGGUUGCUUAAGCAGCUUGGGAGAUUUUUCAUCUCUUGGGAGAUUUUUCAUCUCUCAAAUCUCUGAAUUUAGGAUGCAAUUUAUAGAAAGCAUUAAGCAGCUUCACCAUUGAAAUGAAAUGUUAGGCAAAGUUAAGUGACACUGUCUUCUUGACUAAACUUACUAAGCUAACUAAAUGCUUGUGAUAUGUAUAAAUU